AUACCCUUGAUGGGGACACAAGCUAAGUAACUCUUUAAAAUGUUCUCAUGUUUGAUACAAAGUCUCACUAUCCUUUUGUGUAAAAAUUUAUAUUUGCCUUUUCAAAGUAU